UGUAUUUAAGCUAAACAUUUAAGGUUUGCCCAUAGCAAUUUUUUAACAUUCAAAUUGUUUUAAAUAUACAAAUUGCAAAGAAAGAAUGUGAUACCAAAACUGAAAAUGGCUAUACAGAAUUACCUAUAUUACCAUUAACGAGACACCCAAAUUUUGGAUAUGAGUUAUGCUAAUCAAUCACAACAACUCAAGAUCACACAGAAAUCUGUUGUUUAAGAAGGAGAAACUUUAACUAACUUCGGUUUUUUAAAAGCAAACAAACUAAAACGACAUCAAAGAAUGCAUUUACUAAUACCUAUAAACUCCAAGCCCUUGAAGAAUGAAAGAAUGCUAACUUAUUAAGGUUUGAAACCCAGUCUUUUCAACAGAAUUCCUAACAUCAAGGCUUAAUGCUUUUACCCCUGUUAUUUACAAACCAAACAUCAGAUUCUGAUGUUAUUUAAACCAAAAUUAUAACAAAACAAAUCAUAAAGGUUUACUUAGAACAGAGCGCCACCAUACAGCUCACAUGUUAUUCAACUAAGUUAUGUCCAUAUCCCAACAGUCCAAAGUUAAAUACAAUAGCAAGAAUUCAAUUAUUAAAACCAAAAAUAAACUAGCAAAUACAGUAAAUCUGGAAAUAAAACACAAUAUAUUUUAGAGAAAUACAACUGAACUAUUAACAGAUAACUUGAUGUUAUGCUCUUAACUCCAUUUUUCAUUUCAUACUUCAAAUUUUGCUUCACAUCUAGUAUAGUUCAAGAAUAAGUACCUGAUUGCAGCAAUCAAAAAUAAGGACAAAUGAGUGUGAAGUCUAGAGGAAACAUCAACAACAGAACCAACUUAGAAUCCCAACAAUACCAACGUAAACCAACUUCUUAAAACCAAAAGAAAAACUAAAUGAAAACCAGUCUUUGAAGAACCCAAAACUCUGAUUAAAUACGCUUUAAAGCAGAUUUGAAUCAAUUUGAACCAAAGCAAGAAUUCCAGUUUCUUGCAAAGCUUUUCAGACUCCUGCCCUUUUUUAGUUUUUUAAUAUUUUUAAUCUCUAAUUCUGACUUGUUGGUGAAGAAACUAUGCCUUUAUAGGCAAGCCUUACGGCAACAGAAAGUGAAUUCGGUUUAGCUCUUUAAUCAUUUUGAUAUUUUCAUUUUUGCUCCUCUACCCUUAGUUUAAAAUUAGCUUUUUAAGUUAGUCCCUAAACCCACCUUCUAGGAAACUUCCUAAGUUAGUUAUGCAAGAUUCUCUAAGCUAAAAUCCCUAAACUACCCUUAAAACCUCUAUUAUUUACCCUUCUAACCUAAACUAACAAAAUCCUAGGGCUAUUGUUGGGACGGGUAAAAAAUAAACCGAGGGCCCAAAAUUUCCAACUAGCCCAUGAGUAUUCGAAAAUCUGACCUAGACAAAAUAACACUCAAACGAUGGCUCCAAAAGAACAAAAACAAUUUUAAUACUUACUCUGAAAAUAAACUGAAUUAAUUCUGUUCCUUUAACAAAAAUUAUCCAAGAUUAACUCAUGGCUACUGUUUAUAUGAAUUUAAACUGAUUAAAAACAGAAACAGAGGGAAAAGAAAAUGAAAGAAUAAAAUGGAGGAGAAACAGAAACCGGGAAACACACGGACAAGGAAUACCUAAGGUCGGAGACAAACGGACUUGAAAAUAUUGUCCGGCAGCUUCUGAUUUGACCCAAACUGGUAUCAAUCACAUGUUCUCUUUUGAGAACAAAUGAACAAUACUAGUUUCAGGCCCAAUCGUUCAUAGAAACUUGAAGACUUGAAAGAUCUUCUUUUCUUCAUUUUUAGAUCUGAAACUGACCCGAUUUGGUGAGGACUUGGGGAGAAGAGGUGGUAGAUUGGGACUCAGGGAUGAAUGGUGGUUGUGUGGUUAAAUUUUUAUGGUGAUUUGAGCUCCGCCUCUAGCGAAAGAUGGUGAAACAUUCACGGCGCGGGUCUAGGGUUAGAGAUGAGGGAGAUAAAGUGAAGGGGUGCUUGGGAACUGACUUGUCUCUGGGGACUUGGACAGUCUUAAGCGAAAAUAG
rnacentral:lncRNA from 1 species